rnacentral:rRNA from 1 species
UACGUAGGGGGCUGGCGUUGUCCGGAUUUAUUGGGCGUAAAGAGCGUGUAGGCGGCCAGGUAGGUCCGGUGUGAAAACUCGAGGCUUAACCUCGAGAUGUCAUCGGAAACCAUCUGGCUAGAGUCCGGAAGAGGAAAGUGGAAUUCCUGGUGUAGCGGUGAAAUGCGCAGAUAUCAGGAAGAACACCAAUGGCGAAAGCAGCUUUCUGGGACGGUACUGACGCUGAGACGCGAAAGCGUGGGGAGCGAACAGG